UGGGGAAUAUUGGACAAUGGGGGCAACCCUGAUCCAGCCAUGCCGCGUGAGUGACGAAGGCCUUAGGGUUGUAAAGCUCUUUUGGCGGGGAAGAUAAUGACGGUACCCGCAGAAUAAGCUCCGGCUAACUUCGUGCCAGCAGCCGCGGUAAUACGAGGGAUCCUAGCGUUGUUCGGAAUUAUUGGGCGUAAAGCGGGUGUAGGCGGACUUAUAAGUCAGGUGUGAAAUCCCAGGGCUCAACCCUGGAAGUGCACUUGAUACUGCAAGUCUUGAGUGUGGUAGAGGCUAUUAGAAUUCCUGGUGUAGUGGUGAAAUACGUAGAUAUCAGGAGGAAUACCGGAGGCGAAGGCGGAUAGCUGGGCCAACACUGACGCUGAGGUGCGAAAGCGUGGGGAGCAAACAGGAUUAGAUACCCUUGUAGUCCCUGAGCGGGCUGGCAAGGCGCAU
rnacentral:rRNA from 1 species